rnacentral:rRNA from 1 species
CAUCGCCACGGUAAUACGGAGGAUCCGAGCGUUAUCCGGAAUUAUUGGGUUUAAAGGGUGCGUAGGCGGAUAGAUAAGUCAGUGGUGAAAGACGGUGGCUCAACCAUCGCAGUGCCGUUGAUACUGUUUAUCUUGAAUAUGGAUGAGGUAGGCGGAAUGUGGCAAGUAGCGGUGAAAUGCAUAGAUAUGCCACAGAACACCGAUUGCGAAGGCAGCUUACCAAGGCAAAAUUGACGCUGAGGCACGAAAGCGUGGGGAUCGAACAGGAUUAGAGACCCCCGUAGUCCCUGUCUCUUAUACA